rnacentral:lncRNA from 1 species
AUCAGAACUUCAUUCCUUUUUACAGCUGAGUAAUACUCCAUUGUACGUCAUGCCACAUUUUGUCUAUUGAUCUAUUGAUGAAUGGGUAGCUUCUACCUUUUGGCUAUUGUAAUUAAUGCUGCUAGGGACAUAGGUGUACAAUCAUUUCUUUUUGAACGUACAGAUCUAUAUGUUGAAAGUUGAAAUGAAGUAAGAAGUAUAGUACAAGUGCACACAUAUAGUUUAUAAUAUACGAUAAAUAUGACAUAAAUGGGGAUCCCUGGGUGGCUCAGAGGUUUAGCGCCUGAUUUCAGCCCAGGGCGUGGUCCUGGGGUCCCCAGAUCGAGUCCCACAUCAGGCUCCCUGCAUGGAGCCUGCUUCUCCCUCUGCCUGUGUCUCUGCCUCUCUCUGUCCCUCAUGAAUAAAUAAACAAAAUCUUAAAAAAUAUAUGACAUGAAAGGGACACUUUUGUACUAGACUUUACCCGGUUUAUUUCAUUUUCUUAGCACCUCUGUGAAGUAGGUAUUGAUAGUCCAGGGUGGCAGACUGGUAACACAGGUGUACCAUCAAAAGUAGUAGAUAUAUAAGAUGUAGAAUUUUACUUUACUUAUGAAACUUUAUAUCUUACGCAUAAUGUAGUAGAUGUGGAAAACAAUAUAGUCCAUAGCUAUUUCCUUUCAGUUUCAUAUUAUCUAGUAUGUUUCCUACUUUUGUAUACUUAUGAAUAACACUUAUUUGUCACUGCCAUGAAAUUAGUAGUGAAGCUAGAAGGAGAUUUUCCAGAAAAAAAUUUUAGUGUGAUUGAGAGAUUUUUUAGUGGGCAUUGGGAGUGGAGGGAAAGUUGAUAGUAUUAGAAAGGAUGUAUCUGGGGAUGGAAGAAGAAACUAUGCUUGCUGUUAAGGCAGCUUAACAUCUUAUGCACUGAAGGAAAAUGUGGCAGGCUCAAAACUGGUUAUGCAAGGUACUUCUCAUAAGUUUGUUUCCUUUAUCAUGCCUAUAAAAGACACUAUUAACAUCACAUUUAUGUCAUUAAUAAACUUCCAGGAUCCAUGUAGUAGGACGUGGUAGUAUAGUUAAGAAGAGACAACAAUGAUAUUUAUUUCAGCAACAUUUAUUUGGUAUAUUACACUGGAUAAGGGUAUGUUUUAUAAGCCUAAGGUUUAUAUAUGCAGUUGAAUCAUACAUGUAAAAGUAGUGAAAUUUUGGUUUGUCUUUACUAUAAACAUUUUAUAAAUAAGGGAACUAAAUUUAAAAGAAAUUAAUACAAUAAUACAUAGCAAGUGGAAGCAUCAGAAUUUGAACCCCAAUUUAAGUAGUUCUGAGGACUAUGUUUCUUCCACUAGAUCAUUCUGCUUUCCCUUCAAAAGUACUUUGGGAAUACUGGGAUGAAUCUUUAUAUCUUUAUUUGAAGUCAUUUAAAAAAUUAUAACCCUUCCUGAGGAUAGCAAAAUUGUGUGCUAUUGCAAGAUAAUUACAGAGCUCACAAUAAGGAAGCAGAGGUAAUGUCUGGUAAUGUUUUUGGCUCCCUUUUUCUGCCCACUGUUGUGUUAUGCAGAGUAUGAAAUAUUGUUACAGAAGCUAUUUCAGAAAGUUGAUUUAUUGAAUAGGUUUGGGUUUGUUUUGUUUUGUUUUGUUUUGUUUUUAGAGUGUGCAUGUGUGUGUGUGAGCAGGGAGAGGGGCGGAGAGAGAAAUCUUAGGUUCCAUAUCCAGCCUGGGGCCUGACCCUGGGCAGGGGGCUCAAUCUCAUGACCCUGAGAUCUUGACCUGAGCCAAAAUCAAGAGUCAGAAGUUUAACCUACUGAGCCAUCCAGGUGCUUGCUUUUUUUCUUUGAGUAGGCUGCAUGCCCAGUAUGAGCCAAACGCAGGGCUUUUCUUCUGGGGAUGCCUGGGUGGCUCAGCAGUUGAGCGCCUCCCUUCGGCUCGGGGCAUGAUCCUGGAGUCCUGGGAUUGAGUCCCACAUCGGGCUCCCUGCAUGGCUCCUGCUUCCCUC